rnacentral:lncRNA from 1 species
UAUUUUAUUUUCUCCCUAAAAAAUUAAUUGUAGGUCAGGCUCAGGCCUUUCAAAGUCUGGCUUAUUCCCACCCCUAUUUAUGGUAAAGAGAAUGUAUCAAUAAUUAACAAGGAUAAUUUAAUAAAAUUUACAUUAUAUUCCUUUCAUUUGUCAUAUUUUCGUAUCUUGUGUGAAAUGGUUCAAUACGAUAAUUAUUAUAGGAUAAAUAGAGUAUCUGAAACAUUUAUUGUAUGAUUAAAAUAAAAUUUUGAUAGAAAAAUAAACGCAUAAAAAUUUACCCUUUGUGAUACAUAUUCUUAAAUGUAUUUUUUUAAGAACAUUUUCUUUCAUUUUUUUUAAUGAACUUUUUAGGAUACAGUCAAAUAUCAAUACCAAUAAAUUAUAUGUAAAUACCUUUAGUUUUAAAAAACAUAACCUUUAAAAUUUACUUCAUGUGACAAUAUAAUUUUUUUACAAGAUGUGACAAAAUAAAUUAGUAUUAUCUAGGGGUAGUCAAAUAUCAUAUAAUAAAGUAAUAAAGGGUAGUCUUUACCCAAAAAAAAAAAAAGCAAUUGUAAAUCUAUAUAUUUGGAAAUUUACUUAAUAUGACAAAAUAAAUAAUUUCUUUAAACAAAAAGAUUUGCACACACUUAAAUAAUGCUGAAAUUUGGUCAAAUUUAGAUACUUUUGAGGGUUCAACUUGUGUGUAUAAAUACCUACAUACAUAUGCUUUAGCAAUACCAAGAGAAGUUAACUAUUUUAUUUUCUUUGAAAAAAAAACACUUGCAGCUACGAUGGAAAAAACAAUGAAAAUGAUGUUGAAGAUUAUGUUGGUGUUUAUUGGUAUUGCAACUAUCCUAGUUGGAAGUGUAACACAAGCAAAUGAUGAUGACAAUUGUAUCCCAAUGCCAGAAGCAUGUUACGUAAACCCAAAAUGUUGCAAAUAAUUACCCAUGGUUUUACUAUCUCUCCAACAUUUUAAAAUUCUAUGCUCUUUUGUUAUUUUUACUAUGAUAAAAAUAAUUUGUGUUUGAGACAGAGUGUAAUAUGUAACAAAAUGAAAUGAAAUGAUAUGGAUGAAUAAGAAAAUAUGAUUUCUUUUUUACUAUUAUUGUUGCAUUUUUUUUAAUUUAGCGUUGCUUUCUCGUGUAGUUAGGGAUUCGAAUAUGCUAAGUCGUCCGUCAGGGGUCUAUGGCUUGACCUACUUAUGGUCUGAUCUGGUCUGG